CCCGUGUGUCAAGGGCCUAGUAGGAGAUGCUUCUGCUCCGCCAUGGCCAUGGAGCUUCCUCCCAAUCCAAGGUCUUGGACUGGACGGGGACGGCUGCUCUUCCAAGGGCACAAUGAUGAAUUUUAAGGACGAUGCUCCUGGAAAGAAAGACUUUGUUCUCUUAACAAGGAUGGAAAGUAUAACAUCAUACAAAAACCAAC